UGCAGAGGGUGCAAGCGUUAAUCGGAAUUACUGGGCGUAAAGGGUGCGUAGGUGGUCAAAUAAGUUAGGUGUGAAAGCCCCGGGCUUAACCUGGGAAUUGCGCCUAAUACUGAUUGGCUAGAGUACUGUAGAGGAAGGUGGAAUUUCCGGUGUAGCGGUGAAAUGCGUAGAUAUCGGAAGGAACAUCAGUGGCGAAGGCGACUUUCUGGACCGUAACUGACGCUGAGACACGAAAGCGUGGGUAGCAAACAGG
rnacentral:rRNA from 1 species